ensembl:lncRNA
CUGAAGUGCCUACCAUCCUCCAUCAUCUCCAAUUGAAGAUUACACACCUGUCUGGCAUGUGUGACCAGCCAGGGACUGAGGCAGAGCCGCGCGGAUGGCAGCCAGCUCUGCUCCACUGUCCCAGACCACUCUGAUGUCAGCUGGCUGUGAAAGGGAAAGGGCCUUGUACUGACCAGAGACUGUGAUAAAGCUUGAACUGGGAUGUGACCAGAGCUCUGGACCAACGCCACGCCGCCCUUGUCUGUGCAAGCCGCAACGCCAAGAUUCUCCAGCCCUGGAGAGACCGAGUUUGCAACGAAAAGGAGAGCAGAAACAUCUGGGUUUGUGAGAAAUAGAAACUUUUGGAACUGGUCUGCACAUUUCCUGUGUGAGGAGAUCGAACUUUUCCUCCCCUUUUUCAUGUCUUUUCCAUCGCUCUGCUGGGUUCUGCUGCUCUGCUUCAAGCAGGGGGGCAGUUGAGGGUAAACCUCUGCUGUUUGAGGAG